CGCUAGAGCAAGUAUGCAAAUUUGCAUCAAUACAAUCCACACAUUUAUGUUGGAGAUGUUAUGAAUUAUACAGCUAGUCCCUAGAAGAUGAGGUUGUUGCAACUGCCUAGCCAAAGGUCUGGAAGGAUGGAAUACAGUUGUGGAAUGAACAACCAGUAAAUGUGCCGAAACCCGGGAGAGGAGAACUUGAAAAUCCGAACGAAGACCAUUUAGUUCCUGAUGCAAGCCCCAAUAAUGACCGGAAUGAAGAAAGGCGCUGGCAGAUGACAAUGUAGUACGUAAAUGAGGGCAUCGCCGUGGCAUCUGCCAUUUCGCCUACGCCGAUUUCCUCAUAUGGGGAUUUUUCAUUAGCAUUCAAGAAUGGACCUUAACGUCUUGCAAAGCUGAAGAACAGAAUAAGAAAGGAUUCAAACAAAUUCGCAAUCAGCAAAAACGAAGCUCUGGAAGAAUUUGAUCUUGAACAAAGGUUUUUUUGGUUUCGGAAAUUUGUUGCCUUCUAAUUUUGUUCCUUGUGACGAUGUGUUGUUGGUGUAAAACUCAAAAGGAACUGGAUCUAACUACAGCCAAAAGACUUACAAAAUAACAUAAUGUGCGUCUUCCCGACAUGCGACAAACAAAAAAGGUUAUAGGAAGACAUCGUUCGUUGGGCGACCAUCGUCGCGGAAAAAUUACAUCAUUUACAGAUUCCUAGGUUUUUCCGUCAACUCCAGAUGGCUACCAAUGUAAGUCACCUCGCUUGCCUCUGAUGGUUCACGUUGCUUUUUUCCCGCCUUUGCAUUUCGAGUCGUGGAUCAAUUAUUGAAGGAAUCAGGAUAGUGAUGGAUUUAUCUAGAAAUGACCGCUGUGCUGAAGGAAGACGUCGUUCCUCCGCUACUUUAGGGGACCACCUUCGCGGGAAAAUCACUUCAUUUACAGAUUCGGAAGUGCAAAACAGGAAGCAAUUCAUGACGGGAGUUCUCCGGUCACGCCAUGUCGGGCGUGAGACAAGUUUAGUCCACCAUCCUGUGGCGGCUGUAUUUUUUUCGCUAGCGCAAAUAGAUGCUUACACCUAGUCAUUCGUUGUAGGCACUGAUAACACUUUUCAUUGAUGGCGUUAAAUGGGCAACUUUCUCUACAACGAAAUGGAGUUGAGGAAGGUUAACUCCUACAGACUGAAAAGGUUCCUUGUUUGGGGCAACGUACUGAAUGAAGCAUUAUGAUUGGAUACACUACAUGGAAUUUCCAUACUUUAUUGACAUGCUCAUUUAAAAACGGUAUUUAAUGUUUAAAAAAUUGAAGUGUAUAUCUGGGCUCCCUUCCUUUCCGUAGCCCCGUUUCCCCUUGACUCAUAAUAAGCCCGUAGGGGGUCAUGCCCCUACUGUACGGUAUAUUUAAAAACAACAUAUACCGAGGUUUGGAGGGCUCUGGCCGGAAAGGGGACGUGGGGUGUCCGCUUAGUCCGAUGAUGUGUUCACGGAGGGCGAUGUGGCUGCCCACAAAUCCGAAGUAAAGGUUAAUCGCUCCUGUAAAAAUGUUCCAAAUCUUCAGCUCUUCUUCCGGCUUCUCUUAGCCAAUCACCGGGUAAUCUCCCCGGUGGGUCAACAAGGCAGUGUCUCCCCCUGCCUGGGUUGACGGCAAUUUUUGA